GACGAACGCUGGCGGCGUGCUUAACACAUGCAAAUCGAACGGAAAGGCCCUGCUUUUGUGGGGUGCUCGAGUGGCGAACGGGUGAGUAACACGUGUGUAACCUACCCUAGACUUUCGGAUAACUUCAGGAAACUGGGGCUACUACAGGAUAGCAGCUCCCGUUCCAUGGAGGGGGUUGGAAAGUUGCGGCUGUCGGGGAUGGACUCGCGGCUUAUCAGCUAGUUGGUGGGGUAGUGGCUUACCCAGGCUUUGACGGGUACCCGGCCUGAGAGGGGGGACGGCCACAAGAGGACUAAGAGACGGCGCAGAGGCGUAUAGGAGGCAGUGGUGGGGAAUAUUGCCCAAUGGGCGGGAGCCUGAGACAAAAACGCCCGGGGCGGGAAGACGGUCUUCGGGUUAUGAAACGCAUUCGCCUGUGACGAAGCGGGAGUGACGGUAAUGAGUAAAGAAGCACCGGCUAACUACGUG
rnacentral:rRNA from 1 species